GAUGAACGCUGGCGGCGUGCCUAAUACAUGCAAGUCGAGCGAACAGACGAGAGUGCUUGCACUCUCUGACGUUAGCGGCGGACGGGUGAGUAACACGUGGGUAACCUACCUAUAAGACUGGGAUAACUUCGGGAAACCGGAGCUAAUACCGGAUAAUAUUUAGCUUCGCAUGAAGCAAUAGUGAAAGACGGUUCUGCUGUCACUUAUAGAUGGACCCGCGGUGUAUUAGCUAGUUGGUGAGGUAACGGCUCACCAAGGCAACGAUACAUAGCCGACCUGAGAGGGUGAUCGGCCACACUGGGACUGAGACACGGCCCAGACUCCUACGGGAGGCAGCAGUAGGGAAUCUUCCGCAAUGGACGAAAGUCUGACGGAGCAAUGCCGCGUGAGUGAAGAAGGUAUUCGGAUCGUAAAACUCUGUUGUAAGGGAAGAACAAGUACGUUAGUAACUGAACGUACCUUGACGGUACCUUACCAGAAAGCCACGGCUAACUACGUG
rnacentral:rRNA from 1 species